rnacentral:rRNA from 1 species
CUAUCCGAAUAUAACUGUAAGCCUCCCGAUCCCGUCCCGAACUCGGAAGUGAAAACGCUCAGCGCCGAUGAUAGUGUGGGGCCUCCCCAUGUGAAAGUAGGACACUGCCAGGU